GACGAACGCUGGCGGCGUGCUUAACACAUGCAAGUCGAACGGAAAGGCCCUGCUUUUGUGGGGUGCUCGAGUGGCGAACGGGUGAGUAACACGUGAGUAACCUGCCCUUGACUUUGGGAUAACUUCAGGAAACUGGGGCUAAUACCGGAUAGGAGCUCCUGCUGCAUGGUGGGGGUUGGAAAGUUUCGGCGGUUGGGGUGGGACUCGCGGCUUAUCAGCUGGUUGGUGGGGUAGUGGCUUCCCAAGGCUUUGACGGUUAGCCGGCCGGAGGGGGGGACGGGCAGCAUUGGUGGUGCUGAGCGGCCCAGCCGCCUCCGGCGGGAAGCAGUGGGGAUAUUUCACGAUGGGCGGACGCCUGAUGCAGCAACGCCGCGUGCGGGAUGGCGGCCUUCGGGUUGUAAGCCGCUUUCGCCUGUGACGAAGCGUGAGUGACGGUAAUGGGUAAAGAAGCACCGGCUACCUACGU
rnacentral:rRNA from 1 species